UAAUACAUGCAAGUCGAGCGAACGGACGAGAAGCUUGCUUCUCUGAUGUUAGCGGCGGGCGGGUGAGUAACACGUGGAUAACCUACCUAUAAGACUGGGAUAACUUCGGGAAACCGGAGCUAAUACCGGAUAAUAUUUUGAACCGCAUGGUUCAAAAGUGAAAGACGGUCUUGCUGUCACUUAUAGAUGGAUCCGCGCUGCAUUAGCUAGUUGGUAAGGUAACGGCUUACCAAGGCAACGAUGCAUAGCCGACCUGAGAGGGUGAUCGGCCACACUGGAACUGAGACACGGUCCAGACUCCUACGGGAGGCAGCAGUAGGGAAUCUUCCGCAAUGGGCGAAAGCCUGACGGAGCAACGCCGCGUGAGUGAUGAAGGUCUUCGGAUCGUAAAACUCUGUUAUUAGGGAAGAACAUAUGUGUAAGUAACUGUGCACAUCUUGACGGUACCUAAUCAGAAAGCCACGGCUAACUACGUGCCAGCAGCCGCGGUAAUACGUAGGUGGCAAGCGUUAUCCGGAAUUAUUGGGCGUAAAGCGCGCGUAGGCGGUUUUUUAAGUCUGAUGUGAGAGCCCACGGCUCAACCGUGGAGGGUCAUUGGAAACUGGAAAACUUGAGUGCAGAAGAGGAAAGUGGAAUUCCAUGUGUAGCGGUGAAAUGCGCAGAGAUAUGGAGGAACACCAGUGGCGAAGGCGACUUUCUGGUCUGUAACUGACGCUGAUGUGCGAAAGC
rnacentral:rRNA from 1 species